rnacentral:lncRNA from 1 species
UGUGGAUGGGGUCGACGUAAUCAGGUAAAUCUACUUUUAUGUCACUGCAUCAAAAUAACUUUACUAUUCCUAUAAUAUAAAUAGUUACUUUUAUUGUUUAUGUAAAUAAUAUAGGUGGUUGUGCAUUCUCCUCAUUGGGCAAAGUACGUUCGUAUUGAUACGAGGACAUUAAGGAUAUUGAUGAAGAGGAGAUUUAAAGGGAUGAAAAAGACAUUUAAGAGAGUUAAAUGAUAUGCAAUCCAAUACUGACAUGUCUAGGUGUGAAAGUCUCUCUUACUAAGACUAUAUUUCUCUACUUCUCACACAAACACAUAAUACAUGCACAAACACACACACACACACACAUAACUGUAACCAAUCAAACACUCGCAAAUCAUACUCACACACCAUUAUACUGCCACCGAUACAAAUUUAUGAUUUAAAUCAUUAAGCAAAUGAAAUGUUCGUUGAGAUAGUACUAAGAAAACUUUAUUUGAUUGUAAGUCCAUAUUUUUCCUUAAAAAAUUGAUUGUUUGUUACAAUCUCUCUAAAUUCUUACUGCAAUCAAUCUAAAUCAUUCCCCCUACAUACAAAUAUGUGUGCUCAUUUGUUUUCAAAUUUAUAAUUGUUUUAUUUUUACUCACAUAUUUCGAUAAUUUUUAAAUUUCAAUUAUUUUCAGGUAUAUACUGAAGGAUACAUGAUGUAAGCUGUAAAGAAUAUACUUGGUGUAAGCUGUAAAGUAAAGGGUCUUAGUUUCUCUAUUUUCUGCAUGUAUGUAUUUUUUGUAUUCUGCCUUUUGUAAAGUUAGC